GAUGAACGCUGGCGGCGCGCCUAACACAUGCAAGUCGAACGGCACCCCUCCUCGGAGGGAAGCGAGUGGCGAACGGCUGAGUAACACGUGGGGAACCUGCCCCCCCCCCCGGGAUAGCCGCCCGAAAGGACGGGUAAUACCGGAUACCCCGGGGUGCCGCAUGGCACCCCGGCUAAAGCCCCGACGGGGGGGGAUGACUCCGCGGCCCAUCAGGUAGACGGCGGGGUGACGGCCCACCGUGCCGACAACGGGUAGCCGGGUUGGGAGACCGACCGGCCAGGUUGGGACUGAGACACGGCCCAGACUCCUACGGGAGGCAGCAGUGGGGAAUCUUGCGCAAUGGGGGGAACCCUGACGCAGCGACGCCGCGUGCGGGACGGAGGCCUUCGGGUCGUAAACCGCUUUCAGCAGGGAAGAGUCAAGACUGUACCUGCAGAAGAAGCCCCGGCUAACUACGUG
rnacentral:rRNA from 1 species